rnacentral:rRNA from 1 species
AUGUCAUAUGGUGCAAAAGAUAUCUUGGUAAAGUCUGUUGCUCAAGCUUUACCCACAUACACCAUGAGUAUUUUCAAAAUGAGUGCAGGUUUUUGCGAAAAAUAUGAAAAGCUGGUGAGAGACUUCUGGUGGGGAGACGAGAAGAACAAAAGAAAGGUACAUUGGAUGUCCUGGAAAAAAAUGACAAAGCCAAAAUGUGAGGGUGGUCUGGGCUUUCGUGAUAUGUGUAUCUCCAAUCAAGCUCUUCUUGCUAAGCAAGCAUGGAGACUCAUUCAAAGAAUGAAUAGCUUAUGUGCCAGAGUGUUGAAGGCUAAAUAG